UACGAAGGGGCUAGCGUUGCUCGGAAUCACUGGGCGUAAAGGGUGCGUAGGCGGGUUUUAAGUCAGAGGUGAAAUCCUGGAGCUCAACUCCAGAACUGCCUUUGAUACUGAGGAUCUUGAGUUCGGGAGAGGUGAGUGGAACUGCGAGUGUAGAGGUGAAAUUCGUAGAUAUUCGCAAGAACACCAGUGGCGAAGGCGGCUCACUGGCCCGAUACUGACGCUGAGGCACGAAAGCGUGGGAGCAACAGGG
rnacentral:rRNA from 1 species